GGGCUGGGGCUCAGUGGUAGUGCACCUGCCUGGCAUGUAUGAGGCACUGAGUUCAAUUUUCAGUACCACA
rnacentral:tRNA from 1 species